rnacentral:rRNA from 1 species
GAUGAACGCUGGCGGCGUGCCUAAUACAUGCCAGUCGAGCGAACAGACGAGGAGCUUGCUCCUCUGACGUUAGCGGCGGACGGGUGAGUAACACGUGGAUAACCUACCUAUAAGACUGGGAUAACUUCGGGAAACCGGAGCUAAUACCGGAUAAUAUAUUGAACCGCAUGGUUCAAUAGUUAAAGACGGUUUUGCUGUCACUUAUAGAUGGAUCCGCGCCGCAUUAGCUAGUUGGUAAGGUAACGGCUUACCAAGGCAACGAUGCGUAGCCGACCUGAGAGGGUGAUCGGCCAAACUGGAACUGAGACACGGACCAGACUCCUACGGGAGGAAGAAGAAGGGAAUCUUCCGCAAUGGGCGAAAGCUUGACGGAGCAACGCCGAGUGAGUGAUGAAGGUCUUCGGAUCGUAAAACUCUGUUAUUAGGGAAGAAAAAAUGUGUAAGUAACUAUGCACGUCUUGACGGUACCUAAUCAGAAAGCCACGGCUAACUACGUG